UACAGAGGUCUCAAGCGUUGUUCGGAUUCAUUGGGCGUAAAGGGUGCGUAGGCGGCGCGGUAAGUCGGGUGUGAAAUCUUGGAGCUUAACUCCGAAACUGCAUUCGAUACUGCCGUGCUUGAGGACUGGAGAGGAGACUGGAAUUUACGGUGUAGCGGUGAAAUGCGUAGAUAUCGUAAGGAAGACCAGUGGCGAAGGCGGGUCUCUGGACAGUUCCUGACGCCGAGGCACGAAGGUCAGGGGAGCAAACGGG
rnacentral:rRNA from 1 species